rnacentral:lncRNA from 1 species
AUUACAAAAAUAUAAGCUGUAUGUGUCAGGACAACUUCAGAUGGUGAAACCUCAGGUUCUGGUCCAUACUGUAGCCAUUAACUUCAAUGUCAUCUAAAGGUGUUGGACCAGUGAUGGUGUAGUAGAAUUAUGUGAGUUUUGAUCACAAAAACGUUAAGGCCUACUGUUCUUGGUAUAUUACAAAGACACAAUUCUCACAUUAUUUCUGGUAUAUUUUUGUUAGAUCAAUCGGAGGAGAGAUCAUUAUCAGGAAAGAUGUCUGAAUUAGAUUAAAAGCAACAACUGAGAUUCCAUGUUUGCAAAGAGAGGCUGUAUGGAGUUGAGCGGUCCACAGAUCCCAGAGCAGCAUUUAACUCAACAAAAGCUCAAACACUCAAAGGCUUCAGAGAGUGCGUUGGACAACCAAGAAUAGUAGGACCAGCUGGGAUCAAGUUGGAGGACUUAUAACUGAUAAAAUAUGGACUGACAAUGGCAACAUUUCAGCAGGGGCGGACCGGCUAUAUGUCUGUUCUGGAAGAGCACAGAACAGGUGGGGGGGGCCAUCUCGCCCAGCCCUGCAGUUGCACAGCGGAGAAACAGAAAGAAGUAGAGAAACUGCAAGCUCGUUGUGUGACUACUCUGCAGUCAUCUGAUGACCUAAUAGAGACUUGGGAAGAGUGUACGAAGCAGGCAGUCAGAGGUGUAAAAACACUGUUUACUAGUGGCAGCAGGGCGCCACUGACACCAAAACUACAGCACAAGAAAAGAAGAUGCAGCUGUUGAUCCAGGGCACAUUAGCAUAUCAGACACUGCACAGGGACAGUCAGAAGAACAUGUGGAAGUUCUACCUCAGAUGAUCUCUAUGUAGAGAGCAAACGGUGAGCAACGAUGUAAGCCACACACACAGCAGGGCUUGAUUAAAAUAAAUUGAAGGGAGUUGUUAGCUAUAAGAUUUCCAAACACAACAUACUUAAAACCAGGUCAUUAUACCAUCUGGUUUUGCAGUAUGGCAUGUUUCCAUGUAGCCAUUUGAUUUGUGUAAAACAUUGUGUCUGAGAGGAUAUGAAGGUGCAAUUAGUUUGAAACUAUUUAAAAACAUAAUUUUGGUAUUUUAUUUAUUUAACAGCUCUGUUGUUGUUAAUUAGUGACACACCAAUUGCGGAAUGAAGAUUUUCAUAAAUUGAUGUUCAAAAUGCCUUAAUGAAAGCUCACAAUUAUGCUAAUUUGGGCCUGGCUACUCAUAGUUUCACACUUUAUUAUUUAUUUUAAUAUUUGAACAGAAAAUAUACGUAUCAUGCAGUUUUUUGAAGAUACAUGUUGCUAUUACUGACUAUGGACCAGCAUAUUCGCUGCUCACAAAAUGUGUCCUUUGGAGUAUUUGAAUGGAGUUUAAUGGGAUUUAGCAGCUGCAGAUUAGUGUCAGUGUCUGCACACCUCAGACAAUUUUCUAUUUUGAAAGAUUUUAGUCAUAAGGUUCAGAUUUUUGUAUAUUGUACGUUGUGUUCUGCUUUUU